rnacentral:rRNA from 1 species
AGAGUUUGAUCAUGGCUCAGAGUGAACGCUAGUAGUAUGCUUUAUACAUGCGAGUUAAAUGUUUUUUAAACAUGGCGGACGGGUGAGUAAUGUAUAAGAAACUGCCUUUUAGUUUGGGAUUUUAAAUACCAGAAAAAGAUUGAUUAUCGCUAAAAGAGGUGCUUAUAUAAGAUUAGGUAGUAGGUAAGGUAAAAGCUUACCUAGCCAACGAUUUUUAGUUGAUUUGAGAGAGUGAUCAACCACACUGGGACUGAGACAAGGCCCAGGCUUCUUUUUGAAGCCAGCAGUAAGGAAUAUUGGACAAUGAGCGAAAGCUUGAUCCAGCAAUACUACGUGAGGGAUGACAGCUUAUUUUGGUUGUAAACCUCUUUUAUUAAGGAAGAUAAUGACUUACUUAAAAAAAAAGUCCCGGCUAAUUUCGUGCCAGCAGCCGCGGUAAUACGAAAGGGGCGAGCGUUAUUCAGUUUGAUUUGGUGUAAAGGGUUCGUAGGCGGUAAUAAGGUUGUUUAAAAUAAAAUUGAGAGACUCAAUCUCUUUUAAAGCUGUUAAAAACACUUUUACUUGAGUAUAAAAUAGGAUUGUAGAAUUUUAAAGGGAGAAAUAAAAUUUGAAGAGCUUUAAAGGAAUGUCAAAAGCGAAGGCAACAAUCUAGUUUAUAACUGACGUUGAGGAACGAAAGAAUAGGGAGCAAAUAGGAUUAGAGACCCUAGUAGUCUAUUCUGUAAACGAUGAGUGCUCGUAUUUGGAAUAUUAUAUUUUGGAUACUAAGUUAACACGUGAAGCACUCCACCUGAGGAGUAUAGUCGCAAGGCUGGAACUCAAAGGAAUUGACGGGGGCCUAUACAAGUGGUGGAGCAUGUGGUUUAAUGCGAUAAUACGCGCGAAAUCUUACCAGCUCUUGAUUUUUUAAAUUUUGAUUUUGAUAUUGGUUGAUUUUAAAAUUUAUUAACAGGUGUUGCAUGGCUGUCGACAGCUCGUGUUGUGAAAUGUUUGGUUAAAUCCUUUAACGAGCGCAACUCUCUUUUUUAGUUGCUACUUUUUUGAAGAGUACUCUAAAAAAAUUAUUUAUGAUGAGUAAAUGGAAGGAGAAUUACGUCAAGUCCUCAUGGCCCUUAUGAGCUGGGCUACACACGUGCUACAAUGGCAACUACAAAACGUAGCAAUAAUGUGAAUUGGAGCAAAUCGUCGAAACGUUGUCUUAGUUCGGAUUGUUGACUGUAACUCGUCAACAUGAAGUUGGAAUCACUAGUAAUCGUAAAUCAGAAUGUUACGGUGAAUUUGUACCUAGGCCUUGUACACACCGCCCGUCACAUGCCGGGAGUCAGUUUUACUCUAAGAAAAGUGAGGUAAUCCUUAGAAUUUUUUUUAAGGAAGCUUUUUUUCCAAAGCGAAAUUGAUAACUGGGAUGAAGUCGUAACAAGGUA